UAGUUAUCACGGAGACUUGG
rnacentral:miRNA from 1 species